rnacentral:rRNA from 1 species
AUUGAACGCUGGCGGCAGGCCUAACCCAUGCAAGUCGAACGGAGUGGCGGACGGGUGAGUAAUGUCUGUGAAACUGCCUGAUGGAGGGGGAUAACUACUGGAAACGGUAGCUAAUACCGCAUACUAUCAGAUGGGCCCAGGUCGGAUUAGCUAGUUGGUGGGGUAAAGGCCUACCACGGCGACGAUCCGUAACUGGUCUGAGAGGAUGAUCAGUCACACUGGAACUGAGACACGGUCCCGACUCCUACGGGAGGCAGCAGUGGGGAAUAUUGGACAAGGGGCGAAAGCCUGAUCCAUCCAUGCCGCGUGUGUGAAGAAGGGCUUCGGAUUGUAAAGCACUUUAAGUUGGGAGGCGUUACCAACAGAAUAAGCACCGGCUAACUUCGUGCCAGCAGCCGCGGUAAUAC